AGAUUGAACGCUGGCGGCAGGCCUAACACAUGCAAGUCGAGCGGCAGCACGGGUACUUGUACCUGGUGGCGAGCGGCGGACGGGUGAGUAAUGCCUAGGAAUCUGCCUGGUAGUGGGGGAUAACGCUCGGAAACGGACGCUAAUACCGCAUACGUCCUACGGGAGAAAGCAGGGGACCUUCGGGCCUUGCGCUAUCAGAUGAGCCUAGGUCGGAUUAGCUAGUUGGUGAGGUAAUGGCUCACCAAGGCGACGAUCCGUAACUGGUCUGAGAGGAUGAUCAGUCACACGUGGAACUGAAGACCACGGUCCAGACUCCGUACGGGAGCAGCAGGUAGGGAAUAGUUAGGACAAGUGGGACGAAAGCCCGUAGACUCCGAG
rnacentral:rRNA from 1 species